GUGCUCACGUCAGCAGCACAUAUGCUGAAAGUGGAACAAUACAGAGGUUAGCAUGGCCCCUGCACAAGGAUGAGACGCAAAUUCAUGAAGCGUUCCAUAUUUUU